CAUAUGUACGCGAAUGCAUAGGGAGAAUUGAAUUGAAAUCUAGUUGAGCGAAUGUUUGUAUGUAUGUAUAUGACUACAUUUCUCCAGUAUUACGUAUUGUUAAUGAACUUUUAACAUAGCGAGGGUGUAGUAUACUGUUAGUUAUUUUUUAUUAGUUCAGCGUGUCUCGUAUUUGAUGUGUGAUCCCGUUUGCAAACUUUGUUUUUUUUUUUUUUAAACAUUUUGUUUUUUUUUUUUUUGGCAUUUUAUCGUAUCAACAAACAAAAUUUAAAUCUGUUAAUAUUACUGUUAAAAUGUGUGUUUAAAUUUAUUCUAUAUAAAUGCCACAAAGUUAAUCUAUGUCUAUGCUUAACUAAGCCCGAGCUAGUUAACCUGUCUGCUAUUCAUUUACUGACUGGUUGUGUUUGACGGUAUAUAUAUAUAGAUGUUACAAAUUCAUUCAAACUCACGCGCGCAGACCGUAACGUUACCAAACCGUUGUCGGCAUAUAAUCAAAUCAAAGCCAACCAAAGCCAAUCAAUUAUUAUUCCGAGGAGAAAUGUGCAUUUUAUGUUCAAAAAAAAUUGUUUAAAUAAUUUUUAUUGUUAUUAUUUUUUUUUUUGUUUUGUUUAUUUAAAAAAAAAAAAAAUAAGCAAAAAUUAUUAAGAGAUUUCAAUUCAAUUAACGUGUUCGCAGUGAGGUUAUAAACGAAUACAGAAAAUAGAAAAUUCAUUAAAAAAAAAAAAAGAAAAUAAUAAUAAUAAUAGAAAAAUGCGAGUGACUGUCUGAAGAAAAAAGGAAAAAUUUUUUCCGAAAAGUGCAAAGAAAUCUGAGUGCAAUGCCUUGAGAUUUUUAUGGAGCAAAAAAAAAUUAUUAUACGUAUUAAAGGCAUAUAUAUGUAUGUAUGCAGAGAUGUGCAUGGAUAACGGCAACAACAACAACCACAUCAAGGUGUCUAAAUAUAAAUUCUUAAGUGCUGGAGGCUGAAUACUGCUGCUUUGUAUUGUGUGCAUUAUUAUUAUUAUAUUUUUUUUCCUUUCUAUUUUCCCCACUUCGAGUACAAACUGCACUAACAAUUGAUUGUCACAUGCGUAAAAAUUGAUGCUUAAGCCUUAAAAAUUUGUUAUCACAAAAUUGAAAGGAAUAAAUUUCAAAUGAAAUUGAACGCCACUGCUGGUCGGUGGUGGCAUAAAGGCGGCACCGAAAAAGUUUUAAUUGAAAAAUAAAAGCAAAUCAGAAAAUAACGUGACUUUUUGCAUGCGCACCUACAACAACAAUUAUGUAAAGAAGUAUAAAUAAGUUUUUAAAAAUUGAAUAAAAAAAAAGAAAAAAAAA